GGAGUCGCGCUCCCGCUCGCGC
rnacentral:miRNA from 1 species